rnacentral:rRNA from 1 species
GACGAACGCUGGCGGCGUGCUUAACACAUGCAAGUCGAACGGAAAGGCCUGCUUUCCCUUGUGGAUUGCGGGUACUCGAGUGGCGAACGGGUGAGUAACACGUGAGUGAUCUGCCCCCAACUUGGGUAUAAGCCUGGGAAACUGGGUCUAAUUCCCGAUAGGACUGCAGGGUGGUGCCUGUGGUGGAAAACGAUUUUCUAGUGGUUGGGGAUGAGCUCGCGGCCUAUCAGCUUGUUGGUGGGGUAAUGGCCUACCAAGGUGGCGACGGGUAGCCGGCCUGAGAGGGUGGACGGCCACAUUGGGACUGAGAUACGGCCCAGACUCCUACGGGAGGCAGCAGUGGGGAAUAUGGCACAAUGGGCGGAAGCCUGAUGCAGCGACGCCGCGUGGGGGAUGACGGCCUUCGGGUUGUAAACUCCUUUCGACCGCGAGGAAGCCACCUGGUUGGAAGGGUGGUGACGGUAGUGGUAGAAGAAGCACCGGCUAACUACGUG